CCUACGGGAGGCAGCAGUGAGGAAUAUUGGUCAAUGGGCGGAAGCCUGAACCAGCCAAGUCGCGUGAGGGAAUAAGGCCCUACGGGUCGUAAACCUCUUUUGCCGGGGAGCAAGGGCGGGGACGUGUCGCGCCCCUGAGAGUACCCGGAGAAAAAGCAUCGGCUAACUCCGUGCCAGCAGCCGCGGUAAUACGGAGGAUGCGAGCGUUAUCCGGAUUUAUUGGGUUUAAAGGGUGCGUAGGCGGGUUUUUAAGUCAGCGGUAAAAUUUAGGGGCUCAACCCCGUCCGGCCAUUGAAACUGGGGGCCUUGAGUGGGCGAGAAGAAGGCGGAAUGCGUGGUGUAGCGGUGAAAUGCAUAGAUAUCACGCAGAACCCCGAUUGCGAAGGCAGCAUGCCGGCGCCCGACUGACGCUGAGGCACGAAAGUGCGGGGAUCGAACAGGAUUAGAUACCCGGGUAGUC
rnacentral:rRNA from 1 species